GGUGAGUAGCUCUUCUGUGCUCAGGCUUUUCCAUCAUGCUGUUUCUGCCUCGGAUCCAGUCAAUCUGAGCCUGACCCGUCUGAAACUAGAUAACACACUGAAUGCUGCUCGGCCUGGUGGCAGGUGAAUGGAUUAUAUCUUGGUUAUCAUGAAUGAAAGAGUCUGUUCACUUACUAUGACUAAUGCUUGAGAAACACACCAAGUUCUGAGUCUCCCAUGACUGUCACAUAGGUAAG